GCGGGCGUAGCCAAGUGGUUACGGCAGAGGUUUGUGGUUCCUCCAUUCGCGGGUUCAAAUCCCGUCGCUCGCC
rnacentral:tRNA from 1 species